rnacentral:misc_RNA from 1 species
AACGCACCUUGCACCCUUUGGUAUUCCGAAGGGUAUGCCUGUCUGAGUGUCAUUAGACUUCACCUCUGCGUUUGCAGUGUGUGCUUUGGGAUCGGCUCUGCCCUUCCUUAAAAUUCUAAGUGGAAGCAACGUCUCAGUUUCGUGAUGUCCACUCUAAUGACAAACAUCUUAUUUGACCUCAGAUCAGGUAGGACUACCCGCUGAACUUAA